UAACCGUCCCCCUUUUGGGAGGCCAGGGCAAGGGUAAAUGUUCAUGGAGGUCAGCCGUCCAGACUGAGCCUGGGGCCUGUCCAAGGAGACAGAGUUCAGUUGAUGUUGGAUGUUCAGUGCCUGGCGUCAGCAGAUGAGGAGGGUAGUAAUGAAAUCUUCCCACUCAGGUGGUUCAAACAGAAAUGGAAGCACCGUUACUUAGAUCAACAACCACACCUCCCUUUGUGAGGACGUCUCCGGAACCAGACAACUUGGGUUCGCCGCUUAGUAAUUGUGUGAUCACGGGCCAGUGUGCCUCAGUUCCCUCACAUCUAUAAAAUGAGAAUAAGAAUAGUUCUUACCACAUAGGAUUCCUGUGCGGUGAAAUGAGUAAUAUGUCUCAAGAACUGAAAGCUGUCUUGCACACGGCUGGUCCUCCCCAGAUGCUGUUGGGUCUCUCUGCCCAACCCCAACGGCAGCCAUUUACCGAGAAUUUGCCUCGUGGCAGGUUCCCAUGGGACUCCAUUCUAGCCUUACAACAAGUCUGCGUGGUCACUGUGCUCAUCCCCAUUUCAUAGAGGAGGAAAGAGGCACAGGGAAGUCGUACCGUUUGCUCAGGGUCACACAUUCAUGGGUCAAAGCACCAGGGUUCUAACCUGGUUUUGUCCCACACAGAAAACUUGUGAACUUCACCACCACGUGGCCCCACGAUACACAUAAAAUUAAACAAAGCAAAAACAACCUUGUCAUUAGCAUACCGUUGCUCCCUGAGAAGGCUGUUAGGUUUUUCUCGGACUAGAAGCUCUGUUGUGGCUGUGAGUUUUUCCGACACCGUCUAGCACGGUGCUGUGGGCACAGGACACUUACCGGAGGCUUUCUGUUCCACCGUGACUGCCGUUGCUGAUAACACUCUAAGCCCGGGUCUCGGAUGUGGCCUCUAGUGCUGUCGGCAGGGACCCCGUGCACCAGCCUGUGUGGUACCGGAAGCCCGAUGAAGAAUGCAUCACGGUUCCUUUAAUGAAGAGAAUCUUGACAGGAAAAUCAACUUCCUGCUUGUGCCAAAGCUUUGAUGGGUGUGUGCGGCAUCAUAACAUCGUUCGUGCUGGCUAGACCAAGGCCACAUCCAAAGCCAGUGGUGUGCCCUGGGAGGCUAUCUUUUUUGUACUUCCUGCUAGAGUAAGACGAGGUGGGAUGAACGAGGGUGUGGUUGGUGAAGCUGAUGAUAAUAACUUCCCACUCCCGUUAGCCAGUGCUUGCUGUGGGCUAAGCGCUUAACAUCCAUUCCCUUAUUCAAUCCUUAGCACAACUCUUGAGAACCAAUCAACACUUCCAUUUUAUAGAAGAGGAAAUUGAAGCUCAGAGAGGUAAGAAAAUUUGCCUUGAGUCACACAGCUAAUAAAAAGGAAGUUUCAUCACCAUUACUGGUUUUAAACCCAGGUGUCAGGUGCCUUGGAUUCCAAUCCUGAUUUUGCCACUCUCUAGUUUCAUGACUUAGGAAGGACAGUCUUUUAAGCCUCUGGGUCUUCUUCUUAAGAUGAAGGGUCUGGGCUGGACGAUCCGGAAGUGCUCCGUUCAAUACGGUGGUCACUCGCCAGGCGUGGCUAUUAAGCGCUUGAUGCGGCGAGCCCGAAUUGAAAAGGUCUUGUCCCACGGGAAGGUAAACUCCAUAGGAAAAAGAAUUUGUAUCCAUUUUGUUUAGUGCUGUGCUCUCUGGGGCCUUGAAUGGAGCUUUGGGUAACAGACGCUCGAUGAAUAUUCCUUGAACGAAUGAAUGAAUGCAGCCUGCACUUAGAAAAACGUCUCUAUGGAGUAUAUAGAUUGUGAAGUCAUUGUACUCAUGGAGAGACAAGUUCUUUAACAGUUCUCAAACGUGUCAAGAGCUUCAUACACAUGAACACUAACAUGGACUUUUUCAAUGAAGCCACCCUUCGUGAAAACAGAGGCUUCUAGAGCAGUGUGGAUGCGGGGGGGGGGGGGGGUCAAGAGCACGCCUAUUCCGAGAGGCGCAAAAGCAGCCCAGUUCAAUGAAAGAGCAUGUGGAGUUUUAGAGAGAAAACAAUGUAAUUCCUCAAAAUGGCUAUUUUUGAGAGAAGUCUGUACUCUUCAUCACGUUGCUUCUGGAAAGUUUCUAGAGGCUUCUGGAUUUAGAAGGCUGGGCUCCAGAUACAAAUAACACAGGUCUGUCUGUCUUCUUCCCAGAGCCACCUUUUCUUGUUUUAGGAGGAAGGAAGUAUGCAUGUGACUCGUACUUCCUUCAGGCCCUGGAGAUUGUCCUCCAUCACUAUCCGGAUCAAAACUCUCCUGCCUGCUCUUAACACUGAAGGACUGAGUGAAUUCCAAGAGUGGCCUUGCCGAGUGAGUCAUAUCCCCAUUUCGUGUGAUUUGGACCUUAUUUAGCCAAGGACAUUUCAGCGUUUCUGGAUGAAUUAUUUAAGGAGGGGGCAAAGGAAGACUGAGAGGUAGAUCCUGAGAUUCAAGUUGGACUCUGUGGAAUUGAUUAGCAGCAACAAACCAGGCUUGGCACAUCCUGUACACAUACUAUGGUAGGGCCAGCAGUCCGUAAGUCUUGAGACAUAUUUUAAAAAUGGAGUUGGACAGAAAAAGUCAAAUCUUGUUACUGUCAAAAGACAGAGGGGGAAAAAAAUGAGACGAUUAGAGUUAAUUUGCAAUUAUUGGGACUAUUGGGUCUAUUUAUGGAAUCGAGGCAAUUCAAUCCUAGAAUGACUACUUCACCUGAUUUUAACACUUGCUAACAAGGUAUCCUGUCCUGAGUACAGGCACAAUAGUCUGAAAAGAUCCUGCUUUGUAAAUUCACAAAGGUCUGGAAAAUGUAUGCCCUCUUCCGAAGGUUGUCAACUCACCAAAGCUUUGGAAGGUGCAAUGGGAACUCACCACCAAUCAUCGUUAACUUUUUAAAAAUCUAUCUCCUGAUCUUCAUUUUAUUAUCAAUAUUUCUGUUGCGUAGGAAACCAGAUUAGACUAGCAAGAACAGUUUAAAGAGGCUAACUGACCCUCGGGUGUCCCUAAGAACCAUGAAGGAAGACAAGAAGGAUGAAAGGGAGGUUCAUUGCCUCCCUUGACCCAGUGUCUUUCUGCAAUGAUUUCUUGGUUUGUCUUACUUGCUUAUAUUGGUAAUGUAUAUGCUCUCCAGAUUGUCAGAGCCCAUGGCCAGUCCUCCAUAUCAUACUCCAUCCGUAGCAUGUGAGUGACAGCAUUCAACUUGCAAAGCUACCUUCGUCAGACCCGGAUACCCCUUUCUUCUGGUUAUUCAUUUACCUCACUAGCUGUUGCCUCCAAUCUCCUUUGCUGUUUCCUUGUCACUUCUGUAAGAUCCACCAGAUAGAAGGUCCGAGGAAUUAGUCUAAAUAUGUCACCUAUGUUGUAACUAAUCACUGCCAAGAUAACCUCACUCAUGGUUUGAACUAUCAUCUAUCUUCCAACAACUUCCAAAUUCACAUCUCAAGCCUAGACUAGUCCCUGAAUUCAGGUAAUAUGCAAUUUUUUAUUUGACACUUCUGCUUUGAGGUUGGAUAGGUAUCUCAAACUUAACAUACCCCCAAACAAGCUCCUGAUUUCCAUACUCCCUGAAAACAAAAUCUCUUUCUUGUAGUUUUCCCCACUUAGUUAAUGGGGAUCUCAUCUUUUUAGUUGUUUGGGGCUGAAAAACUUGGAUCCUUCCUUGAUGUUUUCUCUCAUAACCCACAUCUGACCCAUCAGCAAAUCAUGUUGGUUCUACCUGUAAAACAGACCUAGAAUCUGACUCCCUUUAAAUUUUUUAAAGUUUAUUUAUGUAUUUUGAGAGAGAGAAAGAGAGACCAAGCAGGGGAGAAGCAGAGAAGAGAGAGGGAGAGAGAGAGAAUCCCAAGCAGGCUCUGUGUCAUCAGCAAGGAGCCUGACGUGGGGCUCCAUCCCAUGAACUAUG